CAUGCGAUCGCGCGUCCACAUCGGACGCUAGCUAUGGCACACUCGUGCCUUAUGUGCCACCGAAGCCCCGAAGUGCUCUGGCAUGUACCUUCACAUAUAUGCAAUGGCAAGCCCUUCCGUGUGUUCCAAAGGUAACAUUUAAGCUCUAAAUUAAAGAAGACAUUUCUAGUCAGAGACAAGCAAAAAUGGUGAAUGCAGAGUAUCAGAAGCCCAAGGUACAGAAAUUAUGAGAAGUGUCGAAUGAUUUUAAGGAAAGAGUCGUAUUUGAAACUGCAAGACUCUUUAGUGGAAGUCAAGCAAGUCAAUGUAGGUAGAAUACUCUGCAAAAUUAUGCGAGUGAGGGGAUGUCAAACAAUGGGUCAGGAAAUGCGUUGGUUUUCUGCAAAACAAAAGCUGAUUGCCAUUACAUAAGUCACUUUAGCAUCAUGAGACUGCUGCUUGAUAAAUUCAGAAAUAAACCAAAAAACAAAACACGCAAAAAUAAAAACAAUUUAAUGAUGCUCUCUCCACACUGGGAUAAAUAAAAACAAACACAUCUAAUGUGGACAUAUCAUACGCCUUGUGAAACACUAAAGGAAAAAUUCAGUUUCGAGCUAUGGCACUUGCCGCAUAGAUGUGGGGGUCCUUGCACUAAUAGUGAUAGUUACCACUGCAUUUAGAAAUUGAAAGCAUUCAUGCAGACAAGGAUGAUUCUUAUAUUUUUGGCUACCACUUCAAAUGCCUCCACCAAGUGUUACGAUGCUGCACGCAGCCAUACUAAGGAUUUCGCAGCAACACCUGCAGGUAAAAAGCAGAAGCAGUCAAAGUGCUGGUGUGUACUGGACACUAUGUUUGAAAACUUUUAGGCAAGAAGAGUGCAAGAAGCAGACAUAACAACUGCAUUUAUUUCCAUAAUUCCCCAUUUGAAUGGCCUUUUCUUUUUGCUUAGGCAAUGCCUACGCCUAGCCACAGCAGCUCCCUCAUACAGACUCCGCAAGGCAAGAGGCCGUGGAGGCAAAUGCAGGCAGCCAGCACACCUCGAACAGCCACCUUGACUGCGGGUGUGUCACCCUAGUCGCCAAGGAAACAUUUGAGGGAAAGCGACAGGCAAUGUGAACAGCCACUUCUUCAUGUAAACGAUACUCUUUCUCUCGGACGACUCCUACGCCUCGCCACGCCAGCACACUUGUGCACAAAGAUGCCGCGGAGGCACGUGCAGGUCAGAGGCAAGAAGCAGUGGCACUGGUAUCGACAUUCACCCAAUUUCUUUUUCUUACACUGAGGCAACCAGCACACCUCGAACAGCCACCUUGACUGCGGGUGUGUCAGUAGAUUCCUGUUGUACAUAUGCUCAUAAUAAACUUCAGUAAACUUGAACUUGAUAAUAAACUUGAUGGCAAAUGG
rnacentral:lncRNA from 1 species